rnacentral:lncRNA from 1 species
GUUCUCUAUGGCUACCAAUUGAAGGCGGUGGUGGUGGUGGAGGUGGAGGUGGAGGUGAUCUAUUAGAACUUGCAAGUGGUGGAAGCGGAGGAGUACGUGGGACAGAAGAAGGGCCACCAAUUAUAGGAGGAGGUGGUGGUGGUGGAGGAGGCGGAGGAGGUAAUGAGACCUCCUUGCUAGGAGAACCAAACAUAGAGGGUGGUGAAGGGGGAGAUGAAGCUGAUGAUUGAGUGACUUUUAUACUAGAAAUCACAGGGGCAGGUGACGGAGGUGGUGAAGGUAGCAGAGAAGAAGAGGAAGUCCUUGUAUCGCAAACUCGAACUCCCUUUAAAUGUUCAGGAGCAAUGGCAGUAUCCAAUUGACAGUUACUUUCAGAAAGAGACUGAACAGGACCAAUAUCUGACUUUGAAAGCUUCAUU